CUGUGUGCUGGAAACAGAGAGAGGAUUCGACUCCGUGCUCACACACCUUCUCAGUGAAAGGAUAGCACACAGAGAGGCAGAGGAGAUUAUCCAAAACAUCUUUUCAUCCAUCAAGUCCAAACUACAUGAGCUCAAGUGGACAGAACAGACAUCUUUUGACCUUGUCAUGAAAAAGGUUCAGUCUUUAGUGCCAAGACUAUGGACUACAACAGAGAUCUCUAGUGAAGCUGAGCUUGACCUGCUUUUUUCAAAGGUGACAGUCAGUGCAAAUAGCUACUUCUCUAACUACAUCCAGCUACUGUCCCUGUGGCAGAAAAGACGUAGUAAACUGCUGAUUGAGCAGACCGAGGAUGCUGAUAUUCUGUCUCUUUCACCGUCUCUCCUGGGUAAUGAGCUGCUCUUUCCCAUGGGAAUAUUCAUCCCUCCUAUAUUUCAUCCGACCUAUCCUAGGUAACAUGUGCACUGAUUAAAGCAGCAUUAAUUGUUUUCCAUAUUAUUCUGAUAACUGAA
rnacentral:lncRNA from 1 species